ACACUCCUGCGGGAGGCAGCAGUGGGGAAUAUUGCACAAUGGGCGCAAGCCUGAUGCAGCCAUGCCGCGUGUAUGAAGAAGGCCUUCGGGUUGUAAAGUACUUUCAGUGGGGAGGAAGGCGAUAAGGUUAAUAACCUUGUUGAUUGACGUUACCCGCAGAAGAAGCACCGGCUAACUCCGUGCCAGCAGCCGCGGUAAUACGGAGGGUGCAAGCGUUAAUCGGAAUUACUGGGCGUAAAGCGCACGCAGGCGGUCUGUCAAGUCGGAUGUGAAAUCCCCGGGCUCAACCUGGGAACUGCAUUCGAAACUGGCAGGCUAGAGUCUUGUAGAGGGGGGUAGAAUUCCAGGUGUAGCGGUGAAAUGCGUAGAGAUCUGGAGGAAUACCGGUGGCGAAGGCGGCCCCCUGGACAAAGACUGACGCUCAGGUGCGAAAGCGUGGGGAGCAAACAGGAUUAGAAACCCUAGUAGUCCCA
rnacentral:rRNA from 1 species